rnacentral:rRNA from 1 species
AAGGAGACUGCCGGUGACAAACCGGAGGAAGGUGGGGAUGACGUCAAGUCAUCAUGGCCCUUACGGCCUGGGCUACACACGUGCUACAAUGGUCGGUACAAAGGGUUGCCAAGCCGCGAGGUGGAGCUAAUCCCAUAAAACCGAUCGUAGUCCGGGAUCGCAGUCUGCAACUCGGACUGCGUGAAGUCGGAAUCGCUAGUAAUCGUGAAUCAGAAUGUCACGGUGAAUACGUUCCCGGGCCUU